rnacentral:rRNA from 1 species
ACUAAGCGUACACGGUGGAUGCCCUGGCAGUCAGAGGCGAUGAAGGACGUGCUAAUCUGCGAUAAGCGUCGGUAAGGUGAUAUGAACCGUUAUAACCGGCGAUUUCCGAAUGGGGAAACCCAGUGUGAUUCGUCACACUAUCAUUAACUGAAUCCAUAGGUUAAUGAGGCGAACCGGGGGAACUGAAACAUCUAAGUACCCCGAGGAAAAGAAAUCAACCGAGAUUCCCCAGUAGCGGCGAGCGAACGGGGAGCAGCCCAGAGCCUGAAUCAGUGUGUGUGUUAGUGGAAGCGUCUGGAAAGGCGUGCGAUACAGGGUGACAGCCCCGUACACAAAAAUGCACAUACUGUGAGCUCGAUGAGUAGGGCGGGACACGUGGUAUCCUGUCUGAAUAUGGGGGGACCAUCCUCCAAGGCUAAAUACUCCUGACUGACCGAUAGUGAACCAGUACCGUGAGGGAAAGGCGAAAAGAACCCCGGCGAGGGGAGUGAAAAAGAACCUGAAACCGUGUACGUACAAGCAGUGGGAGCACGCUUAGGCGUGUGACUGCGUACCUUUUGUAUAAUGGGUCAGCGACUUAUAUUCUGUAGCAAGGUUAACCGAAUAGGGGAGCCGAAGGGAAACCGAGUCUUAACUGGGCGUUAAGUUGCAGGGUAUAGACCCGAAACCCGGUGAUCUAGCCAUGGGCAGGUUGAAGGUUGGGUAACACUAACUGGAGGACCGAACCGACUAAUGUUGAAAAAUUAGCGGAUGACUUGUGGCUGGGGGUGAAAGGCCAAUCAAACCGGGAGAUAGCUGGUUCUCCCCGAAAGCUAUUUAGGUAGCGCCUCGUGAAUUCAUCUCCGGGGGUAGAGCACUGUUUCGGCAAGGGGGUCAUCCCGACUUACCAACCCGAUGCAAACUGCGAAUACCGGAGAAUGUUAUUACGGGAGACACACGGCGGGUGCUAACGUCCGUCGUGAAGAGGGAAACAACCCAGACCGCCAGCUAAGGUCCCAAAGUCAUGGUUAAGUGGGAAACGAUGUGGGAAGGCCCAGACAGCCAGGAUGUUGGCUUAGAAGCAGCCAUCAUUUAAAGAAAGCGUAAUAGCUCACUGGUCGAGUCGGCCUGCGCGGAAGAUGUAACGGGGCUAAACCAUGCACCGAAGCUGCGGCAGCGACGCUUAUGCGUUGUUGGGUAGGGGAGCGUUCUGUAAGCCUGUGAAGGUGUGCUGUGAGGUAUGCUGGAGGUAUCAGAAGUGCGAAUGCUGACAUAAGUAACGAUAAAGCGGGUGAAAAGCCCGCUCGCCGGAAGACCAAGGGUUCCUGUCCAACGUUAAUCGGGGCAGGGUGAGUCGACCCCUAAGGCGAGGCCGAAAGGCGUAGUCGAUGGGAAACAGGUUAAUAUUCCUGUACUUGGUGUUACUGCGAAGGGGGGACGGAGAAGGCUAUGUUGGCCGGGCGACGGUUGUCCCGGUUUAAGCGUGUAGGCUGGUUUUCCAGGCAAAUCCGGAAAAUCAAGGCCGAGGCGUGAUGACGAGGCACUACGGUGCUGAAGCAACAAAUGCCCUGCUUCCAGGAAAAGCCUCUAAGCAUCAGGUAACAUCAAAUCGUACCCCAAACCGACACAGGUGGUCAGGUAGAGAAUACCAAGGCGCUUGAGAGAACUCGGGUGAAGGAACUAGGCAAAAUGGUGCCGUAACUUCGGGAGAAGGCACGCUGAUACGUAGGUGAAGCGACUUGCUCGUGGAGCUGAAAUCAGUCGAAGAUACCAGCUGGCUGCAACUGUUUAUUAAAAACACAGCACUGUGCAAACACGAAAGUGGACGUAUACGGUGUGACGCCUGCCCGGUGCCGGAAGGUUAAUUGAUGGGGUUAGCGCAAGCGAAGCUCUUGAUCGAAGCCCCGGUAAACGGCGGCCGUAACUAUAACGGUCCUAAGGUAGCGAAAUUCCUUGUCGGGUAAGUUCCGACCUGCACGAAUGGCGUAAUGAUGGCCAGGCUGUCUCCACCCGAGACUCAGUGAAAUUGAACUCGCUGUGAAGAUGCAGUGUACCCGCGGCAAGACGGAAAGACCCCGUGAACCUUUACUAUAGCUUGACACUGAACAUUGAGCCUUGAUGUGUAGGAUAGGUGGGAGGCUUUGAAGUGUGGACGCCAGUCUGCAUGGAGCCGACCUUGAAAUACCACCCUUUAAUGUUUGAUGUUCUAACGUGGACCCGUGAUCCGGGUUGCGGACAGUGUCUGGUGGGUAGUUUGACUGGGGCGGUCUCCUCCUAAAGAGUAACGGAGGAGCACGAAGGUUGGCUAAUCCUGGUCGGACAUCAGGAGGUUAGUGCAAUGGCAUAAGCCAGCUUGACUGCGAGCGUGACGGCGCGAGCAGGUGCGAAAGCAGGUCAUAGUGAUCCGGUGGUUCUGAAUGGAAGGGCCAUCGCUCAACGGAUAAAAGGUACUCCGGGGAUAACAGGCUGAUACCGCCCAAGAGUUCAUAUCGACGGCGGUGUUUGGCACCUCGAUGUCGGCUCAUCACAUCCUGGGGCUGAAGUAGGUCCCAAGGGUAUGGCUGUUCGCCAUUUAAAGUGGUACGCGAGCUGGGUUUAGAACGUCGUGAGACAGUUCGGUCCCUAUCUGCCGUGGGCGCUGGAGAACUGAGGGGGGCUGCUCCUAGUACGAGAGGACCGGAGUGGACGCAUCACUGGUGUUCGGGUUGUCAUGCCAAUGGCACUGCCCGGUAGCUAAAUGCGGAAGAGAUAAGUGCUGAAAGCAUCUAAGCACGAAACUUGCCCCGAGAUGAGUUCUCCCUGACCCUUUAAGGGUCCUGAAGGAACGUUGAAGACGACGACGUUGAUAGGCCGGGUGUGUAAGCGCAGCGAUGCGUUGAGCUAACCGGUACUAAUGAACCGUGAGGCUUAACC